GAUGAACGCUGGCGGCGUGCCUAAUACAUGCAAGUCGAGCGAAUGGAUUAAGAGCUUGCUCUUAUGAAGUUAGCGGCGGACGGGUGAGUAACACGUGGGUAACCUGCCCAUAAGACUGGGAUAACUCCGGGAAACCGGGGCUAAUACCGGAUAACAUUUUGAACCGCAUGGUUCGAAACUGAAAGGCGGCUUCGGCUGUCACUUAUGGAUGGACCCGCGUCGCAUUAGCUAGUUGGUGAGGUAACGGCUCACCAAGGCAACGGUGCGUAGCCGACCUGAGAGGGUGAUAGGCCAAACUGGGACUGAGACACGGCCCAGAAUCCUACGGGAGGCAGGAGUAGGGAAUCUUCCGCAAUGGACGAAAGUCUGACGGAGCAACGCCGCGUGAGUGAUGAAGGCUUUCGGGUCGUAAAACUCUGUUGUUAGGGAAGAUCAAGUGCUAGUUGAAUAAGCUGGCACCUUGACGGUACCUAACCAGAAAGCCACGGCUAACUACGUGCCAGCCGCCGCCGUAA
rnacentral:rRNA from 1 species